CCUGGCGGCGUGCUUACCUGCAAGUCGAACGGAGAUUCAGCAAUGGAUCUUAGUGGCGAACGGGUGAGUAACGCGUAGGCAAUCUGCCUUCUAGAUGGGGACAACAUCCCGAAAGGGGUGCUAAUACCGAAUGUUGUAAUUGGUUCGCAUGGACUAGCUACUAAAGGUGGCCUCUGAAUAUGCUACCGCUAGAAGAUGAGCCUGCGUCUGAUUAGCUAGUUGGAGGGGUAACGGCCCACCAAGGCUUCGAUCAGUAGCCGGUCUGAGAGGAUGAACGGCCACACUGGGACUGAGACACGGCCCAGACUCCUACGGGAGGCAGCAGUGGGGAAUCUUCCGCAAUGGACGAAAGUCUGACGGAGCAACGCCGCGUGAGUGAAGAAGGUUUUCGGAUCGUAAAGCUCUUUCGUUAGGGACGAACGUGCUCUUUGUGAAUAAUGAGGAGUAAUGACGGUACCUAAAUAAGAAGCCACGGCUAACUACGUGCCAGCAGCCGCGGUAAUACGUAGGUGGCAAGCGUUGUCCGGAAUUAUUGGGCGUAAAGCGCGCGCAGGCGGGAUAUCAAGUCUGUCUUAAAAGUGCGAGGCUCAACCUCGUGAGGGGACGGAAACUGGUAUUCUUGAGUGUCGGAGAGGAAAGUGGAAUUCCAAGUGUAGCGGUGAAAUGCGUAGAGAUUUGGAAGAACACCAGUGGCGAAGGCGACUUUCUGGACGAUGUCUGACGCUGAGGCGCGAAAGCUAGGGGAGCGAACGGGAUUAGAUACCCCGGUAGUCCUAGCCGUAAACGAUGGGUACUAGUGUAGGGGUAUCGACCCCUCCUG
rnacentral:rRNA from 1 species